AGGGUUGUAGCUCAAUGGCAGAGCAGCUGCUUUGGAUGCUGACGGUCUCAGGUUCAACCCAGACCAACCCAG